rnacentral:rRNA from 1 species
CCCGAAUUCGGAAGAGUUAUAGUAUUAUUAUUUUAUUGUUUCAUAAAUAUUUUUAAUUUUAUUAUAGAAAUGAGACGUUAUUCGUUUCCGAUUAUAUCUGGUUUAAAAAGAAAAAAAUUUAAUUUUAUUGUUUAUUAUAAAUUGGCUAUUUUAUUAGUUGUUUUAUUUAGGCGGUAAAUAAUUUCGGGGAUGAGCUUGAAAUUAGAUUGUUAAAAGCUAAUGUUUUAAAUUUUAUUAUAGGGGAUUAGAAGUUUCUUUUUUAGUAAGUGUUAUAACUAGGUAAAAUUAUUUAAAAUUAUUUUUAUUUUGCUUUAAAUUUUUUAUUUUUAUGUAUUUUUGAAUUUAUAAAGUGUAUUAAUAAUGAUUAAAUUAGUAUAGUAAUUUGUAAUUUUUAUUUAUUAGUUAGGUUAAUAAAAGGAACUCGGCAAAAUAUUUUUCACCUGUUUAUUAAAAACAUGGCCUUUUGACUAUAAUUUAAGGUCUUGCCUGCCCACUGAAAAUUUAAAUGGCCGCGGUACUUUGACCGUGCAAAGGUAGCAUAAUCAUUAGUUUUUUAAAUGGAAGCUGGAAUGAAUGGUAUGAUGAAAAAAUAACUGUCUCUUUUUAAAUUUUUAGAAUUUUAUUUUUAAGUCAGAAUGCUUAAAUAAUAUUAAAAGACGAGAAGACCCUAUAGAGUUUAACAGUUAUAAUUUUAUUUUUAUGGAGGAAUUUAGAGAACUUAGGAUUAUAUCUGUUUAGUUGGGGUGACUGAAAAAUUAAAAAAACUUUUUUUGUAUUUUAACAUUAAUUGAUGAGUUUAGGAUCCCUGAAGAGGAUAAUAAGAUCAAAUUACCUUAGGGAUAACAGCGUAAUUUUUCUAGAGAGUUCAAAUCGAUAGGAAAGUUUGCGACCUCGAUGUUGGAUUAAAAUUAAAUUUUGGUGCAGAAGCUAAAACUUUGGGUCUGUUCGACCCUUAAAAUUUUACAUGAUCUGAGUUUAAACCGGCGUGAGCCAGGUUGGUUUCUAUCUUUAGUUAGAUAAAAUAUUUUAGUACGAAAGGACCAAGUAUU